AAACUUGAGAGUUUGAUCAUGGCUCAGAACGUACGCUGGCGGCACGCUUAACACAUGCAAGUCGAACGAAGUAGCAAUACUUAGUGGCAGACGGGUGAGUAACAUGUGGGUAUCUGCCCUUUGGCCUGGAAUAACACGAGGAAACUUGUGCUAAUACCGGAUAAGUCUUUACGGAGAAAGCUUUAUGCACCAUUGGAUGAGCCCGCACUUGAUUAGUUUGUUGGUGGGGUAAUGGCCUACCAAGACUGUGAUCAAUAGCUGAUUUGAGAGGAUGAUCAGCCACAUUGGGACUGAGACACGGCCCAAACUCCUACGGGAGGCAGCAGUGGGGAAUCUUGCACAAUGGAGGAAACUCUGAUGCAGCGAUGCCGCGUGAGUGAAGAAGGCCCUUGGGUUGUAAAGCUCUUUCGUCGGGGAAGAAAAUGACUGUACCCGAAUAAGAAGGUCCGGCUAACUUCGUGCCAGCAGCCGCGGUAAUACGAAGGGACCUAGCGUAGUUCGGAAUUACUGGGCUUAAAGAGUUCGUAGGUGGUUGAAAAAGUUAGUGGUGAAAUCCCAGAGCUUAACUCUGGAACUGCCAUUAAAACUUUUCAGCUAGAGUAUGAUAGAGGAAAGCAGAAUUUCUAGUGUAGAGGUGAAAUUCGUAGAUAUUAGAAAGAAUACCAAUUGCGAAGGCAGCUUUCUGGAUCAUUACUGACACUGAGGAACGAAAGCAUGGGUAGCGAAGAGGAUUAGAUACCCUCGUAGUCCAUGCCGUAAACGAUGUGUGUUAGACGUUGGAAAUUUAUUUUCAGUGUCGCAGCGAAAGCGAUAAACACACCGCCUGGGGAGUACGACCGCAAGGUUAAAACUCAAAUGAAUUGACGGGGACCCGCACAAGUAGUGGAGCAUGUGGUUUAAUUCGAAGAUACGCGCAGAACCUUACCAACACUUGACAUGUUCGUCGCGACUCUAAGAGAUUAGAGUUUUCGGUUCGGCCGGACGAAACACAGGUGCUGCAUGGCUGUCGUCAGCUCGUGUCGUGAGAUGUUGGGUUAAGUCCCGCAACGAGCGCAACCCUCACUUUUAGUUGCCAUCAUUAAGUUGGGCACUCUGAAAGAACUGCCAGUGAUAAGCUGGAGGAAGGUGGGGAUGACGUCAAGUCCUCAUGGCCCUUACGUGUUGGGCUACACACGUGCUACAAUGGUAUCUACAACAGGAAGCAAGACUGCGAGGUCAAGCAAAUCCUUAAAAGAUACCUCAGUUCGGAUUGCACUCUGCAACUCGAGUGCAUGAAGCUGGAAUUACUAGUAAUCGUGGAUCAGCGUGCCACGGUGAAUGCGUUCCCGGGUCUUGUACACACCGCCCGUCACACCAUGGGAGUUGGUUCUACCUUAAGGCAAGGUUUCAAACCCUUGACCACGGUAUAGUCAGCGACUGGGGUGAAGUCGUAACAAGGUAGCCGUAGGGGAACCUGCGGCUGGAUUACCUCCUUU
rnacentral:rRNA from 1 species